AAAAAAGCUUUUAUUUUGAAAGGAGGAAAUGUCAUUUUCACUCCGUCGCUUUACUUCCUGUUUUCACGAACACGUUGCGGUCUUUUUGCACUCUUGAACACGAGCUAGAGAGGCUGUGUGACUAGGUCUCUUGCGGUGCUCAUGCUGAAACCUCAUCCUGUGGAAAGGAAUACGAGCUAGAGAGGCUGUGUGACUAGGUCCCUUGCGGUGCUCGUGCUGAAACCUCAACUUGGCUAGGUAUUUUCUGAUGAUUAAGAAAGCUGCGAAUUGGAUUCCUGGAUACCUGAUGUUCUCCGGAAGGGGAUGGCGAGCCUGUACCCAGAACUGAACCGAACUCUCAUCUGAAGAUCCCUCUUCUGAAGAUCCUCAUCCUCACGUGUUAACAAAGUGGUAACAACUCACACCGACGGAGAGGAAAAGAACUAAACUAUAAAAGGCCUUGACUGACUAAAAAAAAAAAAACAAACACUGAGCUCAGGGACUGGGGUUUUGUUUUGUUUUCUGUUGCCGGCUUAUUGUUAUUGAAAUUGUAAAUGUUCUAUAUUUUUUCUAUUUUGCUUAUCAAUACAAUUAUUAUUGUUGCGCAUCUCCUGUCUCCAGCUAUUUCAUUCUGCACUCACUUCAGUUUCAUUGUACUCCUGCCGAACCUAUUGACUGGUCCACAUGUUUGCAUUCCCAUAACCUACUUAACGUUAUUCAGGGGUUACAAUAAAUUUUGGCGAGCCAGCCAGGAGAUCCUUUAUUUUUUUCUCUGAAGUUAUCUCAGCCUUUGAUAUACUGAACAUGGAAAUUGUGGAGCGUGAAUCGAUUAAAGUACCGAAUGCGGUGAUUGUGAGUGAAAUCGCUGGAGAUGAACAGAUUAAUGAGGUGACUGAAUUCUUGAAACAAUAUGGGUCAGUUUCCAGAGUUUUAACAAUCACUGAUCGUGACUCUGAUCUUUUCCAAAGUGUUAUUGUUGAGUACAACUAUGGUACUGCUGU